CCCUUAGAUGUUCUGGGCCGCACGCGUGCUACACUGAGUAAUUCAAUGGGUAAGGGAACGCUAGAGCAUUACCUAAUCUUGAAAUUUGCUCGUGAUGGGGAUCGACGGUUGCAAUUUUCCGUCGUGAACGAGGAAUACCUUGUAGGCGCAUGUCAUCAUCAUGCGCCGAAUACGUCCCUGCCCUUUGUACACACCGCCCGUCGCUCCUACCGAUGGAGUGAUCCGGUGAGGCUCUGGGACCUGGACGGAAAGAGCGUUUCGCUUGUUCUGUUUGGGAAACUUGGUCGAACCUUAUCAUUUAGAGGAAGGAGAAGUCGUAACA
rnacentral:rRNA from 1 species